CUAACACAUGCAAGCCGAGCGGUAGAGUCUCUUCGGAGACUUGAGAGCGGCGCACGGGUGCGGAACACGUGUGCAACCUGCCUUUAUCUGGGGGAUAGCCUUUCGAAAGGAAGAUUAAUACCCCAUAAUAUACUUGAUGGCAUCAUCUGGUAUUGAAAACUCCGGUGGAUAGAGAUGGGCACGCGCAAGAUUAGAUAGUUGGUGAGGUAACGGCUCACCAAGUCAGCGAUCUUUAGGGGGCCUGAGAGGGUGAUCCCCCACACUGGUACUGAGACACGGACCAGACUCCUACGGGAGGCAGCAGUGAGGAAUAUUGGACAAUGGGUGAGAGCCUGAUCCAGCCAUCCCGCGUGAAGGACGACGGCCCUAUGGGUUGUAAACUUCUUUUGUAUAGGGAUAAACCUAGAUACGUGUAUCUAGCUGAAGGUACUAUACGAAUAAGCACCGGCUAACUCCGUGCCAGCAGCCGCGGUAAUACGGAGGGUGCAAGCGUUAUCCGGAUUUAUUGGGUUUAAAGGGUCCGUAGGCGGAUUUGUAAGUCAGUGGUGAAAUCUCACAGCUUAACUGUGAAACUGCCAUUGAUACUGCAAGUCUUGAGUGUUGUUGAAGUAGCUGGAAUAAGUAGUGUAGCGGUGAAAUGCAUAGAUAUUACUUAGAACACCAAUUGCGAAGGCAGGUUACUAAGCAACAACUGACGCUGAUGGACGAAAGCGUGGGGAGCGAACAGGAUUAGAUACCCUGGUAGUCCACGCCGUAAACGAUGCUAACUCGUUUUUGGGUUUUCAGAUUCAGAGACUAAGCGAAAGUGAUAAGUUAGCCACCUGGGGAGUACGAACGCAAGUUUGAAACUCAAAGGAAUUGACGGGGGCCCGCACAAGCGGUGGAUUAUGUGGUUUAAUUCGAUGAUACGCGAGGAACCUUACCAAGGCUUAAAUGGGAAAUGACAGGUUUAGAAAUAGACUUUUCUUCGGACAUUUUUCAAGGUGCUGCAUGGGUUGUC
rnacentral:rRNA from 1 species